GAUGAAGAACGUAGCGAAAUGCGAUAAGUAAUGUGAAUUGCAGAAUUCAGUGAAUCAUCGAAUCUUUGAACGCACAUUGCGCCCCUUGGUAUUCCGAGGGGCAUGCCUGUUCGAGCGUCAUUAUAACCCCUCAAGCUCAGCUUGGUGUUGGGGCCUGCCGCACGGCCAGCCCUUAAAAUCAGUGGCGGUGCCAUCUGGCUCUAAGCGUAGUAAUUCUUCUCGCUAUAGAGUCCCGGUGGAUGCUUGCCAUUAACCCCCAAUUUUCUAUGGUUGACCUCGGAUCAGGUAGGGAUACCCGCUGAACUUAAGCAUAUCAAUAAGCGGAGGA
rnacentral:misc_RNA from 1 species